rnacentral:rRNA from 1 species
AACGAACGUUGGCGGCAUGGAUGAGGCAUGCAAGUCGCGGGAAUCCCCAGCAAUGGGGGGAACCGGCGUAAGGGGCAGUAAGGCGUAGGUACCUACCCCGUGGUCCGGGAUAGCCCGCCGAGAGGCGGGGUAAUACCGGAUGACCUCGGGAGAGCAAAGCUCCGGCGCCAUGGGCGGGGCCUACGUGAUAUUACCUAGUUGGCGGGGUAACGGCCCACCAAGGGGGAGAUGUCUAGCGGGUGUGAGAGCACGACCCGCGCCACUCGCACUGAGACACUGGCGAGACACCUACGGGUGGCUGCAGUCGAGGAUCUUCGGCAAUGGGGGCAACCCUGACCGAGCGAUGCCGCGUGGGCGACGAAGGCCUUCGGGUUGUAAAGCCCUGUCGAGGGGGAGAAAGCCGCAAGGCGGAUCCAUCCCUGGAGGAAGCUCGGGCUAAGUUCGUGCCAGCAGCCGCCGUAAAAC